UACGAAGGGGGCUAGCGUUGUUCGGAAUACUGGGCGUAAAGCGCACGUAGGCGGAUUGUUAAGUUAGGGGUGAAAUCCCAGGGCUCAACCCUGGAACUGCCUUUAAUACUGGCAAUCUCGAGUCUGAGAGAGGUGAGUGGAAUUCCGAGUGUAGAGGUGAAAUUCGUAGAUAUCGGAGGAACACCAGUGGCGAAGGCGGCUCACUGGCGUCGGUACUGACGCUGAGAAGCGAAAGCAUGGGGAGCGAACAGG
rnacentral:rRNA from 1 species